UUGUCGUUGCGUCGUGCAUUUUAACUCAGCUGCACACGCACGAUUAAGAGCUUACCUUCGGAUCACCGUUUUUUUCCGUGUUUUCCAUUCUAACCUCACAACGCACUCUUGCUUUUCAGAAGCAAAAAAAAACACUUGUUCACACUCUCUGACUCUGCGGUUUGGCAAAUGACGCACUUGCUUUUCCGAUGCGCUGAUUGCCGAUCGUGUUCGUUCAAAACUUUUUUCGAUUUUUGCAGCUUUGUUCUAGUUCCUAAUUUCGCGGUAGCGUUCCCGCUCCUCGGUCCUUGUUGCUGGCUCGCUCUCUCCGGCUAAUUGACACGCGCGCGAACAACCAAGUACGGGCGAUUCGUUCCCUUUUUCCCGGAAGUGAAGCCCUUUGUGUCGGGUCGCCUGACCGUCGCCGUCUCACACAGUUCGCGACAAGUUUGCGCAUGAAACGCACGUCUUUUCACCGCCACUGCCUGCGAGGUGCGUAUUAAGUGAGAGUUUUUGCUCUGGAGUGUUGGAAAGAAAGUGCAAAGUGUACGAUGAAUCCUGCGACCGAUGAUAAAACGAUAAAUUGCGCUGGCAAUUGCUCUGGCAAUUGUCCUUGGCAAGCGAAAUGUUGGCAGCUUGCCGAUAGGCUAAGAACGGUAAUACCCGACUUGCCCGACUCGCCCGAGAAGGAGUAUCUGGAGCGGAUUGUCGAGAGAAUAAAGACCUCGUUGCCAGCACCUUCAGCGUACAAGGACCUCGACGAGCUGCUACCAGUGGUCACCCACGAAGAUGCGGGAAAAUUAGAUGGCAUCUUGGCGCAGCAAGAUGCAACUGUGCAGCAGCGUAUUUUGCUUUUGCUAAGUAGCGGCGCAGGGCUACGCAGCGUAUUUCGUGAGGAUUUUCUGGCCUCCUGUAAUUGGUCGCAUCAGGGAACGAACGAAAAGAGGCCGUUCAACGUGUACCAGAAUAUUGUAAACAUUUUAAAUGUACAUUUUGGAAACGAGACUAAGACGAAAGCAAAAAUGCAGAAAAUAUUCAAAAAUGAACACCUCAAACACAAGCGGAACACAUUUUCGCAGCGAAGCUUGAAUGAAAAAUAAUUAUAAUCAUUCUAGGACGGA